AGGGUGGAAGGCGGUGGAUAUCUUUAGCUCCAUUUCGAGUAUCCGAAAUAACUCGAUCCAGAAUCUUUUCAUGAAGCGAGCAUCGCAUCAAAAAUGAUACUCCACAAUAUUCCCCAAUAUUUCAUCACAUAUGUGAGGAACAAUCAUGCCACAUCCUCCACAUGGCAAGUAGUAGGUGCUGGAAUGAAGACUCCAUACUUUGAAAAAUGAUCC
rnacentral:lncRNA from 1 species